UACGGAGGGGGCUAGCGUUGUUCGGAAUUACUGGGCGUAAAGCGCACGUAGGCGGCUUGGUAAGUUAGAGGUGAAAGCCUGGAGCUCAACUCCAGAAUUGCCUUUAAGACUGCCGAGCUAGCAGGUGAGAGAGGUGAGUGGGAUUCCGAGUGUAGAGGUGAAAUUCGUAGAUAUUCGGAAGAACACCAGUGGCGAAGGCGGCUCACUGGCUCAUACUGGACGCUGAGGUGCGAAAGCGUGGGGAGCAAACGGG
rnacentral:rRNA from 1 species